AACUGCAUCGUGAUGGGGAUAGAUUAUUGCAAUUAUUAAUCUUCAACGAGGAAUGCCUAGUAAGCGCGAGUCAUCAGCUCGCGUUGAUUACGUCCCUGCCCUUUGUACACACCGCCCGUCGCUCCUACCGAUUGGGUGUGCUGGUGAAGCGUUCGGAUUGGCGUUAGUGGGCGGUUUUCCGCCUCCUCUCGCUGAGAAGUUCGUUAAACCCUCCCACCUAGAGGAAGGAGAAGUCGUAACAAGGUUUCCGUAGGUGAACCUGCGGAAGGAUCAUUGA
rnacentral:rRNA from 1 species